rnacentral:lncRNA from 1 species
AUUUAAUUCUUCCAAUUUUGAAAACUUGAAUGGACUUGGAUAUCCAUUUUACAAAUACAAGAUUGUAUGUUCUCUUGCAGAGAAGUACUGAAUGUUAUUUCUCUGCUUCUGAUCAGAUCAUACACAUGUUGUAGGAAAGGUAUUAAAAUGAUUCCUCAGUUUUAUAACCAGACAACAGGAAUGACUAGUGAGGGUCAAUUCCUAAAAUCACAAACAAUGAAGGUGUUAGGCCAGUUGAUGGAGGAUCCUAAUUUACUUUUCAGUGAAUCGGAGACAAGUUGAUGAAAAAGACUUUCAUUUGAAUGAGAGAUCAAUCACAGAGACUGAAAGUGACAGCCCUACCACAUUUGUUUGUGGACUUUGGAGACAGGCAGAAAGGAUAAGCAAUUGACAAGGAGGUAAGGAAAUCCGUAUCUGGGUUUGAUUCGGUUGUCUUGCAAGUGGAGUUGUAAACAAAUGUGGAAUUUAAAGGGGGAUUACAGUGUUUUGAUGUAUUCCAUUCUGCAUGUUCAAUAUCACUAUUUUCAUUCCAAGAGGGUAUAAUGUAU